CUAAACCAGGUCUAAACCAGGUCUAAACCAGGACUAAACCAGGUCUAAACCAGGUCUAAACCAGGUCUAAACCAGUACUAAACCAGGUCUAAACCAGGUCUAAACCAGGACUAAACCAGGACUAAACCAGGUCUAAACCAGGUCUAAACCAGGUCUAAACCAGGACUAAACCAGGUCUAAACCAGGACUAAACCAGGUCUAAACCAGGUCUAAACCAGUACUAAACCAGGUCUAAACCAGGACUAAACCAGGACUAAACCAGGUCUAAACCAGGUCUAAACCAGGUCUAAACCAGGUCUAAACCAGG
ensembl:lncRNA